rnacentral:rRNA from 1 species
UGGGGAAUAUUGGACAAUGGGCGCAAGCCUGAUCCAGCCAUGCCGCGUGUGUGAAGAAGGCCUUCGGGUUGUAAAGCACUUUUGUCCGGAAAGAAAAGCUUCGGGUUAAUACCCCGAGGUUCUGACGGUACCGGAAGAAUAAGCACCGGCUAACUUCGUGCCAGCAGCCGCGGUAAUACGAAGGGUGCAAGCGUUACUCGGAAUUACUGGGCGUAAAGCGUGCGUAGGUGGUUUGUUAAGUCUGAUGUGAAAGCCCUGGGCUCAACCUGGGAAUUGCAUUGGAUACUGGCAGGCUAGAGUGCGGUAGAGGAUGGCGGAAUUCCCGGUGUAGCAGUGAAAUGCGUAGAGAUCGGGAGGAACAUCUGUGGCGAAGGCGGCCAUCUGGACCAGCACUGACACUGAGGCACGAAAGCGUGGGGAGCAAACAGGAUUAGAUACCCAGGUAGUCCCUGACGCGGGCUGGCAAGGCG